UUUUGUAUUUGUUAUAGAAUCCACAAAGAGUAAAUUUAAUAUAGAAUCCGAAAGAACACAUAUACAUAUAUGAGAUUGAUAUGUGGUCCAGUAUAGUUUUAUGACAAAAAUGUCGUGACAUAUAGGCCAUAUCCCUUAAAUCAAAAUUGCAUAUACUAAAAAGAAAAAAAACCCAGGCAUCGUGGUCUGGUGGUAAAGGAACCUCGACUGAGGCGCCCGCCACCCGGGUUCGAUUCCUGACCACCAGGGAAUUAACAUGCGGAUUUGCUUUGGCGCCUCAGACCACCAGUUCCAGGGGACCCUUAAGUAGAGGCUCAAAAAUCCCUGGUCGCGGGCUUCGGCCCAGUGGAUAGUCAGAUCACUGUGUGGUCAGGACACUAAAUUAUAAAUAAAAAA
rnacentral:sRNA from 1 species